UCCUCGAUGGUCUAACGGUCAUGAUUUCCGCUUGUCACUCUAAUGAGAACGAGCGCGGGAGACCAGGGUUCGACUCCCUGUCGGGGAG
rfam:Aspergillus lentulus DNA, contig: Alt17, strain: IFM 54703.